rfam:Pelodiscus sinensis unplaced genomic scaffold scaffold222, whole genome shotgun sequence.
GGUCCCAUGGUGUAAGGGGCAGCACUCAGGACUCUGAAUCCUGCAAUCUGAGUUUAAAUCUCAGUGGGACUU